ensembl:lncRNA
AAGAAAUAGAUGGGCAGACAGUCGAAAACAAUAUUCAUACAAACAAGAUCAAACAGUAAUGUGGCCUUUUGCAGUUAUUUGUGUUUGUGUUCCACACCUUUCUGCAACUGCAUUUUGGAACAAACAGGGAGAAAGGUAAUCCGGACGGAUGGUCUCCAUGAAUCACCGCCACAUUAAGAGUUUCAGCCCUCUCAUUAUCCUGCACCACAUUCCCCCCAGGGGGCCGGUACUGUGCCUGAGCCUCACCACAUACAGCCGCUCAUUACCAAUCUGCCAACCGAGGCCUGGCUUGGCCAGAGUUCCUUGCCUUGCACAGGUAAGGGGCCUGGUUCCUUUCUCCACCUCCAUACAACAUCCACAGACUCAAGGGUGAACAGAAACAGCAUGCCUUUCAAAGAGGCGCUGCAGGUGUCACCAUCCCAGAAUCCACCAGCAGAACCCCUCCCCUCAUAUUUCCUGUCAAGAAACACAGAGGCUGAUGGGAGAGCAUGGAAUAAUGGUGCG